UUAGUAGGCUAACACAUGCAGUCGAACGGCAACACAGAGGAGCUUGCUCCUUGUGGUGGCGAGUGGCGGACGGGUGAGGAAUACAUCGGAAUCUACUCUGUCGUGGGGGAUAACGUAGGAAACUUACGCUAAUACCGCAUACGACCUACGGGUGAAAGCAGGGGAUCUUCGGACCUUGCGCGAUUGAAUGAGCCGAUGUCGGAUUAGCUAGUUGGCGGGGUAAAGGCCCACCAAGGCGACGAUCCGUAGCUGGUCUGAGAGGAUGAUCAGCCACACUGGAACUGAAACACGGUCCAGACUCCUACGGGAGGCAGCAGUGGGGAAUAUUGGACAAUGGGCGCAAGCCUGAUCCAGCCAUACCGCGUGGGUGAAGAAGGCCUUCGGGUUGUAAAGCCCUUUUGUUUGGGAAAGAAAUCCAGCUGGCUAAUACCCGGUUGGGAUGACGGUACCCAAAGAAUAAGCACCGGCUGACUUCGUGCCAGCAGCCGCGGUAAUACGAAGGGUGCAAGCGUUACUCGGAAUUACUGGGCGUAAAGCGUGCGUA
rnacentral:rRNA from 1 species